AUAUGAGAGAGAUGGAAUAUGAGAGAGAGAGAGAUGGAAUAUGGGCGACAGAGAGGUGGAAUAUGAGAGACAGAGAGAUGGAAUAUGAGAGACAGAGAGAUGGAAUAUGAGAGAGAGAGAGAUGGAAUAUGAGCGACAGAGAGAUGGAAUAUGAGAGACAGAGAGAUGGAAUAUGAGAGACAGAGAUGGAAUAUGAGAGACAGAGAGAUGGAAUAUGAGAGAGAGAGAGAUGGAAUAUGAGCGACAGAGAUGGAAUAUGAGAGAGAGAUGGAAUGUGAGAGAGAGAGAGAUAUGGAAUAUGGGCGACAGAGAGGUGGAAUAUGAGAGACAGAGAGAUGGAAUAUGAGAGACAGAGAGAUGGAAUAUGAGAGAGAGAGAGAUGGAAUAUGAGAGACAGAGAGAUGGAAUAUGAGAGACAGAGAGAUGGAAUAUGAGAGAGAGAGAGAUGGAAUAUGAGAGACAGAGAGAUGGAAUAUGAGAGACAGAGAGAUGGAAUAUGAGUGACAGGGAGAUGGAAUAUGAGAGACAGAGAGAUGGAAUAUGAGAGACAGAGAUGGAAUAUGAGAGAGAGAGAGAUGGAAUAUGAGAGAGAGAGAGAUGGAAUAUGAGAGACAGAGAGAUGGAUAUAGAGACUAUUAGAGGGAGAAACAAUAAAGGAGGGAGAGCGAGAAAGGAGGAAAGUAAGAAACCAUAGAAAGGCAGGUGAGAGACAAUGAGGAAAUUGAGAGAGGAGAAAGUAAGGGCCAUUAAAAACACAAUUUUGGCUCUGCGGUAAUGUCAGGCAGAGGCUUCAGCUGUUGUUGAUGUUGUGUGUCUUUGUGUUGGGCUUUUCAUUCAAACCAAAUCAUGUGGCAUGGUGUUCUCAUCCUCUGGUGUAAAAUACCUUCAAGGAUCAAAUGUUGAUUCAGAUUGGAAAUAUUGAUUCUUAACGGCACUUCAUUGACACAUUUUAGAAUGCAUUCAUGUGCUUGUCAUUGCUUGUCAUUUUAAUCACAUGCACGUUUUAAAGCUAUUGACAACACAUUAGCAUACUGCCUUUAGGGCUUUCACAACCACACGAUAAAUGCAUUCACUCACAUGAUGCACUUAAGAAUGUCUUACGGGCGAUAUCAGUAAGAAGGGCACCUCUUAAUGUAGGAG
rnacentral:lncRNA from 1 species